rnacentral:rRNA from 1 species
GAUGAACGCUGGCGGCGUGCUUAACACAUGCAAGUCGAACGGUGAAGGCGGAGCUUGCUCUGCUGGAUCAGUGGCGAACGGGUGAGUAACACGUGAGCAAUCUGCCCCUGACUCUGGGAUAAGCGCUGGAAACGGCGUCUAAUACUGGAUACGAGCUGCGAAGGCAUCUUCAGCAGCUGGAAAGAAUUUCGGUCAGGGAUGAGCUCGCGGCCUAUCAGCUUGUUGGUGAGGUAAUGGCUCACCAAGGCGUCGACGGGUAGCCGGCCUGAGAGGGUGACCGGCCACACUGGGACUGAGACACGGCCCAGACUCCUACGGGAGGCAGCAGUGGGGAAUAUUGCACAAUGGGCGAAAGCCUGAUGCAGCAACGCCGCGUGAGGGACGACGGCCUUCGGGUUGCAAACCUCUUUUAGCAGGGAAGAAGCGAAAGUGACGGUACCUGCAGAAAAAGCGCCGGCUAACUACGUG